rnacentral:sRNA from 1 species
UAUUGGAAGAGAAUUCAACUACAAAGAAACCCUAAGGUUCCAACAAGGCCUCACUUGCCCAUUUGAACCAUUAGUGGAGGUUAGAGUCGAUUAGAAGUUCAGCAAUACCGAUUUGGAGGUAGUUGGGACCUAGAUUGAGUCGCACAC